CCUACGGGUGGCAGCAGUGAGGAAUAUUGGUCAAUGGGCGCGAGCCUGAACCAGCCAAGUCGCGUGAGGGAUGAAGGUUCUAUGGAUCGUAAACCUCUUUUAUAAGGGAAUAAAGUGUGGGACGUGUCCUAUUUUGUAUGUACCUUAUGAAUAAGGAUCGGCUAACUCCGUGCCGGCAGCCGCGGUAAUACGGAGGAUCCGGUCGUUAUCCGGAUUGAUUGGGUUUAAAGUGUGCGUAGGCGGCCUUUUAAGUCAGCGGUGAAAGUCUGUGGCUCAACCAUAGAAUUGCAGUUGAAACUGGGGAGCUUGAGUAUGUUAGAGGCGGGCAGAAUGCGAGGUGUAGCGGUGAAAUGCGUAGAUAGCACGCAGAACCCCGAUGGCGAAGGCGGCCUGCCAAGCCAUGACUGACGCUGAUGCGCGAAAGCGUGGGGAUCAAACAGGAUUAGAUACCCUAGUAGUC
rnacentral:rRNA from 1 species